AUGAAAGUGCUCCUGUCUCCUCUGUGACGUGUACACAUGACGAGGCCAUACUGCUUCAGCGUAGACUACUGUUAAACUCUGGCAAUGGCGGACUUGGUUCUUGGGAAGAUUAUGAGGCAAGGCAGCAAUGGAGGCCUGCGCGAUGUUGGUAUUAUUGAUUCUCUCAUUGCUAAUCUGCGUCGUACCGAGCACCAUUUGAACCUUGAAACGUUCACAGAGUUGUUUGAGAGUCUAACUGCAUUACAGUCUUCCAUAACUGCUGAUGUGCCAACUACUUCAUACUCUGCCCAGCGUAGUAGCACAGGCUCCCGUGGAAGACCCAGAAUAGAUGUAUCAAGAGAACAACUGGAACUGUUAUUGAACCAAGGAUUUAAGGCGAAGGCGAUGGCACGGCUUCUUGGUUGCUCGUCAUCCUUCAUUUAUAGAAGACUAUGAUCUCUGGGCAUUUCCAUUAGACAAAGAUUUACUCCCGUCAGUGACCGUGAUCUCGAACAGCACGUAAGAACACUACAUCAACAACAUCCGGGUUGUGAGAUGACGAGGGGCUAUCUUUCUUCUGCGGGUAUACGUGUUCCUCGACGUCGAGCGCGCGGCACACUGAACAGAAUCGAUCCCACAGCAGCUGCGCGAAGGUGGAGCAACGUUAUUGCAAGAAGCACAUAUCAUGUACCGUUUCCGAACAGUCUAUGGCACAUCGACGGACACAUGCGCCUCUUACGCUGGGGUAUAGUGACGCACGGCGGUAUAGACGGAUAUUCACGGGUUAUCACCUACCUGACCGCCAGUACAGACAACACUGCCCAGACAGUUCUGGCUCACUUUGUUGGGGCAACCUGUCGGUAUGGAAUUCCCUCAAGGGUCAGAUCGGAUCAAGGGGGUGAAAAUAAACUGGUAGCAGCGUUAAUGAACCUGCUGAAUGGGAAAGGACGAGGUAGCCACAUUACUGGGCUAUCAGUCCACAAUCAACGAAUUGAACGCCUCUAGAGGGAUGUGUUCACACAUGUCAUCCAUUACUAUUACAACUUAUUUUACUCUUACGAGGAUGAAGGCCUUCUGGAACCAGACACUGAAAUCCAGAAAUACUCACUCCAAACAGUGUACCUGCCAGAAAUUAGAGAGCUCAUUUUCAUUCUGGAUGCCACGAGGAAGGAAGAGUGUCACAGAGCAAGUUGAGGAAAACGAUUGCUCCUUAUCACCUGAUCAUAAAACUGUAUUUGAAGUCGCUGUGGAAAUCCAAGAGGUGGUACUGCAUCUGCUCCCAUAACAAACACCAGUAGGUCCUCAAAGGUGAAAGGAGUUUCUUUUUUCUGUUAAAAACAGACACACACAAAAACCAGGAAUUUACUGUGGCACAGCUUUGAUAUUGUGAACAUUUUGUGCUCUGUAUUUAAAUACUGUUCCAUAAUAAGAUCCAGACAGUAAAAAGUACACAAUGGCAUUAUCAACUUCACAAUGACAGCAGGAUGGAUUUUACCUUGCACACUGUUGAGAAGACAUUCCCAUGCAAACAUAGUGUCCUCUUCAGCUUCCUUGUUGUUUGUCCCUUCGUCACUCCAAAUGACAUCGAAAAGACACCGAAAGGCAGCUCUUGUCAGUGGUCCCUCUGUGUGUGUAAACAGGCACUGAAAUGCGUUCCAGUACCUCUCCACAGUUUCCCGAAGUUUGCCACAAGAGUUGAUUCCUUGUUUAAACUGCUCAACCAUGUUUGCAGUUCUGAAAUAAAAAAUAACAAAUUAAAUAUUUGCACUAAAUGAAUAAAAGAAAUAGUCUACAGUGAUAAUUAGCUAGAAGGAUCGCACCAACUAGUCAAUCAGAAUAAGCUGUUAUUAGCAAUAAGCAAUAAUAUUGCUAUAUAAGUCCUGACAGCACUGGGAAUAAUACCUGUGAAAGAUGAAAUGCUUCACAACUUGGGAAAGUAUCAGAGGAAUGUCAUGGACUUUGGCUUCAUAUACCCCUGGCACACCACAGUCUGCAAUCCAGUCAUCCAAACUGUCCUGAAGACUUUUCCAUGCCUCCUAAGUUUUGCAUUCUUUAAUCUAAGAAUACAGCAGAAGACAAGGCAUAGAAACCAAAACAGAAAUUAAGGCUACAUUAAAUAUACAGUGUUUUAGGUUGUUCAACAAAAUAUUAAAGUACAAGACAAGAAACAAAGUAACACACGGUUCUUUUUUCCCCUCAAAGUUCAUUUCUGUAAAAUUUAAAAUGAGCUCUAACUUUAAAACAACAAAGCAAAAAUUGGCAAAGUGUCAGAAUACCUGCUGAAGCUUGUCCUGCACACACUUGUCUGGCAAGAUGGAAAUAUCAAAUCCUUCAAGAUCUGGAGCCUGACCACACAUUAACUGAUAAAGGCUGGGAUGUAAUGCCUUAAUGCCUGGUCCCCCAUGCAACAGAGACCAGGCAAUCAGCCUCCCUCCAGUAUAAUACUUUCCCUUAUCUAGGAAUGCCUGAUCAUAAGAAAAAAAAAGGUUGCCUGGCUGUCCCUCGAAAAUGCCCAAAGUGGACUGCACAUCCUUCAUUAAAAGCCUACCACAGAGACGAGAGGAAAACUGUUAAUACUGUAUAAAAUUAACUCAAAAGGAAACAUGCAACUGGGUCAUCUUGUGUCAAACAGUAAGAAAAAUGGCAAGGCAUAUUCUCUCUAUCUAACCGUCGUUAACGUUGGCGCCACAGUUUAUUAGAGCAUACCUGAACAAACACCACUUUCAAAACCAAGAAGCUUUCAGAUAAAACUGUUGGACAAUGAGCCCUGCGAUGGACUCGCGACCUGUCCAGAGUGUAUCCUGCCUUCCGCCCAAUGACAGCUGGGAUAGGCUCCAGCACCCAGCACCCACCCAGCACCCACCGCGACCCAGAAGGAUGAGCGGUUUAGAUGAUGUAUGUGUGUAUAUAUGUUGGACAAUGAAGCACCGAUCAGGGUUGGGUCAUAACAAUUAGCUGAUUUUAUUCACCCCAUAGAACCGUAGAAUUAAUUACAAAAGCUGAAAGAAUUACACACAGUUACAACUUUGUCUGGAUAUCAGCAUCCACCCAACAAUGGUGAGAUUUAUAACAAAGGUAAAGAGCCAUAGAAAAAAGUUUAUUUUAUUAGUCCAGAGAGUCUUUGAUACAUUGCCCACAGUAUUUAGUAAAGUCCUAUGCUCAUGAUGCUCCACAAAGCUGGGAUUUGUGAUGCAUUUAUGAGCAAUUUCCAAAGAAAGACUAGUUUCUAUACAAAAGUCAGAUCACUCUUUAAUUGAUUCAUUUUCCAGUCAAAAUGGCCAUGAAAUAAAAUCUAUUCAUUUUUCAGCUUCAGGAAAAAAAGUCCUAACCACUAAAUAUGAAA